UACGUAGGGACCGAGCGUUGUCCGGAUUCAUUGGGCGUAAAGAGCUCGUAGGCGGCCACUCAAGUCGAAUGUGAAACCUCGAGGCUCAACCUCGAGCCUGCAGUCGAUACGGGCAGGCUAGAAUUCGGUAGGGGAGACUGGAAUUCCUGGUGUAGCGGUGAAAUGCGCAGAUAUCAGGAAGAACACCCGUGGCUAAGGCGGCUCUCUAGUACGGUACUGACGCUGAGACGCGAAAGCGUGGGGAGCGAACAGG
rnacentral:rRNA from 1 species